UACGAAGGGUGCAAGCGUUACUCGGAAUUACUGGGCGUAAAGGGUGCGUAGGUGGUUUUUUAAGUCCGUUGUGAAAUCCCUGGGCUCAACCUGGGAAUGGCAGUGGAUACUGGAAAGCUAGAGUGCGGUAGAGGGUAGUGGAAUUCCCGGUGUAGCAGUGAAAUGCGUAGAGAUCGGGAGGAACACCAGUGGCGAAGGCGGGUCUCUGGACAGUUCCUGACACUGAGGCACGAAGGCCAGGGGAGCAAACGGG
rnacentral:rRNA from 1 species